AGAGUUUGAUUAUGGCUCAGGAUGAACGCUAGCUACAGGCUUAACACAUGCAAGUCGAGCGGGACUCUUCGGGAGUCUAGCGGCAGACGGGUGAGUAACACGUAUCCAACCUUUCCCUUACUCGGGUAUAGCCUCGGGAAACUGAGAGUAAUCCCCGAUGUGGUGCACGAACAGCAUUAUUUGCGCACGAAAGAUUUAUCGGUAAGGGGUGGGGAUGCGUUCCAUUAGGUAGUAGGCGGGGCAACGGCCCACCUAGCCGAUGAUGGAUAGGGGUUCUGAGAGGAAGGUCCCCCACAUUGGAACUGCGACACGGUCCAAACUCCUACGGGAGGCAGCAGUGAGGAAUAUUGGUCAAUGGCCGGAAGGCUGAACCAGCCAAGUAGCGUGCAGGAUGAACCGGCCCUAUGGGUUGUAAACUGCUUUUAUGCGGGAAUAACGUUCGCCACGUGUGGUGAAGUGCAUGUACCGCAUGAAUAAGGAUCGGCUAACUCCGUGCCAGCAGCCGC
rnacentral:rRNA from 1 species